rnacentral:rRNA from 1 species
AUUGAACGCUGGCGGAAUGCUUUACACAUGCAAGUCGAACGGUAGAGGGGGCAACCCCUCGAGAGUGGCGAACGGGUGAGUAAUAUAUCGGAACGUGCCCAGUCGUGGGGGAUAACGUAGCGAAAGUUACGCUAAUACCGCAUACGAUCUAAGGAUGAAAGCGGGGGAUCGCAAGACCUCGCGCGAUUGGAGCGGCCGAUAUCAGAUUAGGUAGUGGGUGGGGUAAAGGCUCACCAAGCCAACGAUCUGUAGCUGGUCUGAGAGUACGACCAGACACACUGGAACUGGGCCACGGUCCAGACUCCUACGGGAGGCAGCAGUGGGGAAUUUUGGACAAUGGACGCAAGUCUGAGCCAGCCAUUCCGCGUGCAGGAUGAAGGCCCUCGGGUUGUAAACUGCUUUUGUACGGAACGAAAAGGUCUCUCUUAAUACGGGGGACUCAUGACGGUACCGUAAGAAUAAGCACCGGCUAACUACGUGCCAGCCGCCGCCGUAAAAC